rnacentral:rRNA from 1 species
ACAUGCAAGUCGAGCGGAUGAGAGGAGCUUGCUCCUGGAUUCAGCGGCGGACGGGUGAGUAAUGCCUAGGAAUCUGCCUGGUAGUGGGGGACAACGUUUCGAAAGGAACGCUAAUACCGCAUACGUCCUACGGGAGAAAGCAGGGGACCUUCGGGCCUUGCGCUAUCAGAUGAGCCUAGGUCGGAUUAGCUAGUUGGUGAGGUAAUGGCUCACCAAGGCGACGAUCCGUAACUGGUCUGAGAGGAUGAUCAGUCACACUGGAACUGAGACACGGUCCAGACUCCUACGGGAGGCAGCAGUGGGGAAUAUUGGACAAUGGGCGAAAGCCUGAUCCAGCCAUGCCGCGUGUGUGAAGAAGGUCUUCGGAUUGUAAAGCACUUUAAGUUGGGAGGAAGGGUUGUAGAUUAAUACUCUGCAAUUUUGACGUUACCGACAGAAUAAGCACCGGCUAACUCUGUGCCAGCAGCCGCGGUAAUACAGAGGGUGCAAGCGUUAAUCGGAAUUACUGGGCGUAAAGCGCGCGUAGGUGGUUUGUUAAGUUGGAUGUGAAAUCCCCGGGCUCAACCUGGGAACUGCAUCCAAAACUGGCAAGCUAGAGUAUGGUAGAGGGUGGUGGAAUUUCCUGUGUAGCGGUGAAAUGCGUAGAUAUAGGAAGGAACACCAGUGGCGAAGGCGACCACCUGGACUGAUACUGACACUGAGGUGCGAAAGCGUGGGGAGCAAACAGGAUUAGAUACCCUGGUAGUCCACGCCGUAAACGAUGUCAACUAGCCGUUGGGAGCCUUGAGCUCUUAGUGGCGCAGCUAACGCAUUAAGUUGACCGCCUGGGGAGUACGGCCGCAAGGUAAAACUCAAAUGAAUUGACGG